rnacentral:lncRNA from 1 species
AUUCAAGAAUUAAGUAAUCUUAUUUGUAAAUCGUAACAAUUGUAAAAUUAAUUUUGAUUUGAAAAAUUAAUUUUUUAAAAAAACUUUACAGCAUUUGGUUGAGUUUAGAUAGAAAGCAAUUUUUCUAAUGUGAUUUUAUAAAGCUGUUUGGCAAAAAUUUUUAUUGGUUGCAAAUAAUAAUCUUUUUUACUGAAUUUUAUUUUAAAAUAAUUUAAAAGUUGAAUUUAAAUUUAAAUUUUAAAUUUGCAUAAAAAUUUAUAAUUUAAGCCUAAAAUUAGAAUCAGUUGCUAAGAAGUAGGUUUUAACUCCUUCUG